rnacentral:rRNA from 1 species
AGUGAACGCUGGCGGUAGGCCUAACACAUGCAAGUCGAACGGCAGCACAGUAAGAGCUUGCUCUUACGGGUGGCGAGUGGCGGACGGGUGAGGAAUACAUCGGAAUCUACUUUUUCGUGGGGGAUAACGUAGGGAAACUUACGCUAAUACCGCAUACGACCUACGGGUGAAAGCAGUGGAUCUUCGGACCUUGCGCGAUUGAAUGAGCCGAUGUCGGAUUAGCUAGUUGGCGGGGUAAAGGCCCACCAAGGCGGGGAUCCGUAGCUGGUCUGAGAGGAUGAUCAGCGACACUGGAACUGAGACACGGUCCAGACUCCUACGGGAGGGAGCAGUGGGGAAUAUUGGGCAAUGGGCGCAAGCCUGAUCCAGCCAUACCGCGUGGGUGACGAAGGCCUUCGGGUUGUAAAGCCCUUUUGUUGGGAAAGAAAAGCAGCAGGUUGAUACCCCGCUGUUCUGACGGUACCCAAAGAAUAAGCACCGGCUAACUUCGUG